GGAGACGCCGACGCCCGGCGCCGACGUCGUUUUUAAAGCGUCGGCGGUGUCAGAGUAAUCUCACCAAUCCUAGGGCUCAUAAGUAAAAAAGAUCGUUACAAUAAUCAACCCUCUCAGACGCUGGUUCGUCAUAAAGAUGAGCUUCUGACAAGUCCGUAGAGAAAGCAAUAAAGGGGGAUAAAUUUUAAAGGAAACGAAAAAUUCAAAGAAAUAAGUAAAAUGUAUAAGUUAUCAAUAUAAAUGAACAGACCGUUGCCCUGUCCGGAAUAAUCUUUGCGUUACUAUUAUUAAUGUAUUAGUAUUUUAUUUUGUAUAUACGAUAAUAAUAAUAAUAAUUAUUAUUAUUAUUUUAUUUUGUUUUUGAAAUGGGCACGGCUGGCCGCGAUUUUGAUCGAGACAGAGAAUGCGAACAGUGUAGAAUCUGUGCAAACAACGUUUCGAAGGAUGAAGGGGUGUAUAUUUUUUCUGAAGAAAGCAGACGACACUAUCUGCAAGCAAAAAUACGCAAAUAUUUAUACGUGUUGGUAUCCUCCGAUGAUAAGUUGCCACAAAUCGUUUGUUCGACAUGUACGAAAAGAUUGGAUGGCAUUCAUCGGUUUGCAACAAUGGCACAUCGAGCCCAGGAAAAGCUAAGAUUACAACUAUCAGAAAUAAUGGAGAAUGUGAAGGAAGCGGAUGAAAUGGCAGAUGGGAAAAUCAGGAAUAAUCCAGAGGCAACCAGAAGGCUGGAAGAUCGAGGAUUGCUGCAUUCAAUCCUUACUCAAGUGCGUCCGCCAGAAGGUGCUAUAGAAAUAUUGGCUGAAGGCGAACCACUAGAGUCAGUUUCUCUGUUAUCCCAUGAAGACAGCGAGCAUACUCAAAGUAUGGAAGAAAUGGAAGUCAAAGUUGAUCCCAUGUUAUUUUUGCAAUGCGCAUUGGAACAAUCUGGGUCCGAUGUAUCUGAUGUAUCGGAUAAUGAAGACAAAGAGUCUAGAACGUCAUCACCUGAGCCGCCGUCAGUUACGCACAAGAAUAUUGAGAUAAAACAAGAACCACCCUGUUACGACACUAAGCCAUUUGAAUUAAUGGAGACUGACGAAGAUGUAUUGAACAACAGCAUAAAACCUUACGAAUGUACAAUAUGCGCUCGAUCUUUUAUAUCUCAAAUUGGACUGCAAAACCACUUGUGGUCACACUUACCCAGGGAUCAUAGAUUUGACGGGAAACCUAUACUGAGGUCACAACAAGUGUUUUCUACAAAUGGAGUGCUACAUACAAGUUCGGAUAACAAUUCGACUGGAAAUUUCAUAUGCCCAAUUUGUAGCAAACGGAUAUCAACAAAAGGAAAUUUGAAAGUGCAUUUGGAAACGCAUAGGCCUAAAGGGAAGUACGGCUGUGAUAUAUGUGGCAGAAUUUUCAAAACACAGUCCAAUUUAUUCCGUCACAAAGAGUAUCACGGAGGUAUUCAAUUUCCGUGCAAUGUUUGUGGCAGAGUAUAUCCAACAAAUUCUACACUGCGUGCGCACAGUAUAACUCAUUCGGAUCUGAGACCCCAUGCUUGCCCGUUAUGUGACAAAACGUUCAAGAGAAAUCAAGACCUGAAGUUCCACAUAAAUCAACACACUGGUGCUAGGCCUUACCAAUGUCCGUAUUGUCCGAAAGCAUUUGCAAGCUCUGGAAAUUGUUUUUCUCAUCGGAAACGAAUGCAUCCACGAGAAGUUCAUCGAGAUCGGCAAAGAGCAGCAGAUUUAAUGAGAUGAACCUCGGAGAGCAAGUUCGAAGAAUGGGUGUAAUGAGGAGUCAAUGAGAAUGCAACUCUUCUAAUAGCGCUUCCUUAAAGUGCGACACCUAUGUUUGAAAUGCAGAGUACCACAUGAUCGUGCCUGUAAGGGGAAUUCAAGUUUAUGAUCAAGAAAUUUCAUUGCAUAAAAUAUAAUGAGAUCGUGAAUGCAGUGUAAGUUAGUAUUCUAGUCAUCAUGUUUGAAAUGAAAUUUACACACAUAGGUAUGUAGGUAGUCGAAGAUAUAUAAUACAGUAUUUUGUCUAUGUGUAGGAUUAAGCCAAUUUAGUAGGUGAAGUAGCGUAGGGGGAACAAGAAAAGUGAUUUUAUACAACGUACGAAAACUCUACAUGUAUGAAGAAUUGUCGAAAGCUAUUUUCUAGUUUGUGACGGUUUAAUACAAAGCAUAUAUGUAGAUAUGUCAUUCGGUGUUAAGACUGUAUACGAAAAGUGUGUGUCAAAUUAGAUUAAAUAAGAAUGUAGGUAGUUACCGUCUAAGAUACGUUAAUUUCAUGUCAUGAAAAAUAUAUUUAGACACGUAUAUUGAUAGUAUUACAAUUUAAGAAAGGAAUUAAAGGGCCUACUUAGAAUCGUAUUGCAGCUCGUAUCAUUAUUCUUAUAAGAAAACUAAUAUUAAUGAAUGUUAAAUGAAGUCUGAAUAGUGUUAGGAAACCAAUUUUCGACUAGAUAUUUGUGUACUGUAGAAAUAUAGAUCAUAUAGAACGUGCUUCCGUACAAUAUACCUUAGGACGUUUUUAAAAAAAUCCUAAAUUUUUUAAACUCCUUCUACCAUUUAUUAUAGAUUUAGUUCGCCGCUCUACAAUAUAAAAGUUAAAUGACGUCGAAAACACAGUAAAAAGAAUCCAAUGUCCGAAAACUCGUCGUUUCCGUAAGCUUCCAAAAUUUUUGGAUCUUGUAUGUUUUUUUUUUUUUGCUGCAGUUUCAUAAUUUCUUUUAAGGGGGAAAGCCACUGUGAUGGCCGAAAAAAUUACCGAUUUUUAAGAAUUUUUUGCAGAGGGAUAUCUAAUUAAUAAAGGGAUCGAAUUGAUGGUGUUUUACUACGUGUAUAUUAAACUUAUUUUAUAUAAAUUAUUAUUAAAAAAUAUUUAAAAUUAACCAAAACCACCUUUUGCCGAGAUAUCAAUGCCACGAUGGGGAGGGGAAAUUUUUUCUAUUAGUCGUUAAGUUAAGACCCAUAUCUUUGUUAAUUUUAAAUAUAAUUCAAUAAAAAUUUACAUAAAACAAGUUUAAUAUACACGUAAUAAAAUACCAAUAAUUCAAUUCCGUUAUUAAUUGGUUAAGUCUGUGAAAAAAAUUCUUAAGCAUCGGUUAUUUUUUCGGCCGUCGCAGUGGCUUUCCCCCUUAAUUCAAAAGUUUUAUUCAUUGAGAGUACAGAAACCAAUUCGUAACUUCAGGUUGAACGUAAUAGAUUUGAGGGACAUUCAGUAAAGAGAAGAAACUUGCACCUCUUCUUGAAAUAUCUGUAAUAUAUAUAUAUGUAUAAAAUUACUAAACACGUAGCGAAGAUAAUUUGAAGUGACUAAUAAUUGAUGAACCUGAUGCGUAAUCUUACAUUAAUCUUAUCGCUGAAUAGUGCUAUACCAGCUAAUUGAUUAUGUGGCUAGUGAGACGUUCUAAUAUAGUUUAAAUAAAAAUGGGUAUCUACACAUUUUGCAAAUACUUUUCGCACGCGCUGAAUUUGCCAAAAAACUAACAGCCGACAGUGCAGUCGAAUGAAACAAGGAGUAUUAGGCGAGUUUUGCAAAGUGAAUAAAUUAAAAGAAAUUCGAGAACUUUGUAAGCAAUGACGAUGAGAAAUAGUUCGUAAUUUACGACUAAUCAAUCAGUGUUCAGCGUAAUUUAAUCAAUUUUGGUACGCCUUGAAGUGGUCAAAAUUUCAAUACGAUUGAUUGGAAAUACUAUAAAUGAGUAUAUAAAUCCUUGAAAAAACAGGCUUCACACCGUUGGAACUUGUAAUUGAUCAAUCGGAAAGACAGGGAUUUUAUCUUUUGGGUAAUGUAAGAACGUAAUGUGAUAAAUAUACAAAUUUUGGUACACACUGCAGGAUCCUCCGAUUUUUAUGAUCGUUUGACGAAUUUGAAGAUAACAAUGGGGACUAUUUUACUACCUUAAAAUAGUGAGUAAAUUGCCGAUCCCGUUCCACGUGUAACUCAUGUGAAUUGACAUCAUAUUAUUAAAACCGAAAAUAGAACUGUAGAAUCAACAUGUACCACACAAUAUUAUACACUGAGUAUUAUACAAAAAUAAAUCAUACCACACACAUCGGA
rnacentral:misc_RNA from 1 species